rnacentral:misc_RNA from 1 species
GUGAGCUUGGGAUUUGUUCUUCUUGGUGGCCUUCAAGGUGUAAAUCUAUGUCCCAAGUUUUGACAGAAGUGUAGCAGUAGCUAUUUGAGCUAUUUAUGCUGUUUCUUUGUGUUAUUGUAGUUCCCAGAUUUGAUGUUAGUCUGUUGAUUUGAGCAAUGUUACUUGAUGAGCAUGUUCUCUCAAGAUUUAUCAUUCAUGGCAACUGAUUUGCUUUAUUAGUCACCUGUAGAUGGUUUUUACUUUU